rnacentral:tRNA from 1 species
UCCUUAAAAGUUCAACAAGAACAUUGAUUUUGUAAAUCAAAAGAAUCUCAAGGGC